AAAGCGCAAAGCGAAGACGCAAAGCGAUGCGCGGAAUGCAAUAACAAAAACAUUUCAUAAUGUAGGCGCUAUUAAGUUUAUCUUGCUUUUAGAGGUGAGGAAUAUAUGAUCGAACAUGUGGACAGCAUUUUUAAUGCGUAUAAUAAGAAAAAGAAUUGUGCUAGGAUUGAUUUUCGCCGUCUCUUUUACUUACUGCGUGGUAAGCUUCGUGAAAGAGAAUAGCUCCCAGAAUAAUGAAAUUGAAUCCUUGCCUGUGAGAAGAUUUCAGCAACCAUUUCUGUGGCAUUCUCCAAAAGAUGAUUCAAAUGGGACAGAUGUCAAAGUUACAACUUGCAGGAAUUCUGUGCAAGGGAAGGUGCUUAUAGUUGAUGACAGAGGCUAUAUAUGUUCACGGACUGAUGUUUUAUCAACUGGAUGUUGCAACACAGAUAUAGAUACUACAAAGCAAUAUUCAUGUGAAACCUGCAAAGACAAUGGAUGCUGUAGUAUUUAUGAAUAUUGUAUAUCAUGCUGCUUACACCCAGAUAAGAAAAAUGUUUUGCAGAAUGUCUUGGGAAAAGCAUCAGAAACUUUCAAUGUGCUAUUCGCCUCUGUCACAGACCAUUUUGAGCUUUGUCUAGCGAAAUGCCGAACUAGCUCUCAGAGUGUGCAGCACGAGAAUUCUUACCGUGAUCCACGUGCGAAACACUGCUACGGUGAGACACCUGCUGCUCCAGCAGGACCAGCUGGUGAAGGUGGCACUGCACCAUCAUGAGACUGUCAGAGCAGUGUGAGUGCAUCCCUUUAAUAUGUGUGUGGGCUCAGUGAAUGACUCGGUGCUCGUGUUGUCUUUUCCCUGGUGAGUGCUCUGGACUGACCCCUAAUGACUACAGGGAAAAAAGAAACUAUCCUGCUGUUCAUUGAAAGGUUUUGGCGGUGCUCGUUGUGAGAAGAUAUUCAUAAUUGUUACUGGUAUUGUAGUCAUUACAGAAGAGUUGUGAUUCCUGUAUCGCCGACAUUGUGAUACAUCAGUGUGAUAACCACUAUAUUACAUGAAACUCUGCAGUUUCACCCUAGCACUUGUCAUUUCCCAUUAACUGUGAUUGUAUUGUUUUGCAAAAGUUAUCUCGUACAUUGCAAAGCUGCGUAAUAUAAUGAUUUUUGUAUACUUAGGGUUUUAGCAGUAUAUUUGGAAUUGUGGUAUGUCGAAGUUGGCAUGUGAUUGGAAGUUGUUGUCGAAUGUGGUUAAGAACUGUGCUCCUUUUAGACUCAAAUUUGACUAAGUCAUAAAAUAUGCAAUUUGUUUUAUAUAUGCUGUUUAUUUAUCACAGCUGUUAGAUUUUGAUGUAAUGACAUGACAGUAUUUUAUUUUAUUGAAACAGAUUAUAUUCUGUUAAUAAGUUUCAAGCAUAUAUCAGAAUGUUUUUGUUCAGAAUUGUGCGUUCCUUUAAUCUUCUGGUGCUUAAUAGAAAAUUUCUGUAAGAAAUGAACUAUGUAUGUUUUCAGUCCUUUGUGUAAUCAUAGAAAAAAAUAAUUUAAAGUUUUAA